AGUUGUAGCUUCAUCUGAAAUUGCAUCUCUACUGUUACUAGGAGGAAGAACAACACAUUCAAGAUUCAAGAUUCCACUAAAUAUUGAUGAAUGUUCAACAUGUUAGAUCAAAAGAGGUACAUUGAGGUCAUAUUUCAACAUCGACCAAAAAUCAAAAUCUGCAGACCAUUCAAUGGAGCAUGAACUGUUAUAUCCGGAACAAAUGGAUUAUCAAUAUCUGACUGAUUUGCAAUUGUUCAAACCCCCAGCAACAAUCAAAGUCAAGAUUCUUAGGAUUUGGAAAUCUACAACUCCUGACAAUUCAGAAAAUCUACUAAGUCUUGACUUCCUAAUUGCUGAUGCCAAGAUGUUGUUGGUAUGGUAACAACAAUAACACCUGUCACAAAAGUACAACUCAACAAUAGAGAUAUCCCUGUCCAGAAACGAGAUAUCUACAUUCAAAAUGCAAGGAUCAUUGUACGCAUCAUCCUGUUCAGCAACAAGAGUAUACAUUGAUCCAUAAAUUUCAGAAAUUGAUGAACUCAAACACAGAUACCAAAAUGAACCCAUACAAGCAGACCUUCAACUGCUUGAACCAUCUACUCAGUACCACUUUGCACAACACUCCACAUUCUCAAAUAUUCAUGUGGCUGAUCUACUAGCAAUUGAAUAAAAGAAGACAUUGUUCCAGCUCACUGCAACCAUUAUUAAUGUCGAAGCGCCAAAUGGAUGGUACUAUAAUGCUUGCAAUCAAUGUGCAGUAGGUUUACGAUUCUGUGCUGGCAAGUUUUGGUGUCCAAUCCAUGAUGAAAAAACACCAGUCUUAACAAUGAUUCUGGAACUAACAAUUGAAGAUCUCAUUGGAAAAAUUCAAUUGCUUGCUUUUGGUCAGCAAGCUGAAAAAUUAAUUGGUGCUACCAUCGGUGAGUUAGCUGUAAUCAAAACAAUAAACAAAAUGGUUCUCCCUUCUCCUGUAAAAGCAUUGAUAAACACAAGAAGAACAUUCAAAGCAGGGCUUACAGGAAAAGCAAUUGAAGCUGGACUCACAAUUUUCAAGAUAUUUGAUUCUACCAACUGAACAGAUUCUACAGCAGACACAUCCGCAACUUACAAGGGAACAAGCUCACUAAAUGAACAACCUACAUCUUCCAAACCAGCACUACCACCAAUCCAACAGAUCCAAUCAGAAAUACCACCAUCACCAACAAACGCACAGGUAGCAAAUGAAUUAUUUCCAGAAGAGUCUCCAGGAAAGAAGAUGAAAAUCGAAUAAAUGCCAAGCACCAGCAACAUGAUCAGAACCAGACUUUUUGGAUAGAAACAUAAGUUUGACCAUUUAUCCAACAACUUUUUUGUAUCUCUAUGCUAUAAUGAUGUAAAUGAGAAAAAUCAACAAAAAAUAUCACAAUCACAUCAUUUUGUACGGCACUAUUUUGCAGCUCCUGUUAAUAAAUCUGUGACACUUUUGCAUGUAUAUUUUAAGAACUGC